CGCCCCGCUCGGGUCUCGGGACUUCGCCCAACUAGGAGGGUUUGGGGGGUAUAAACCAGAGAGGCCUGAGGACACUCUGAAGACACUGAAAAGUUCCAGUCAUUUGUUUGGAAUACACGUUAUGAACCCUUUCUGGAGUAUGUCUACAAGUUCUGUGCGCAAGAGACCCGAUGCUGAAGAGAAAACUUUGAGUGGAGAGCUGCGAACCAGUCCUCUACGAGCCUCUACAAAGAAACAGUUGCCUUCUAUUCCAAAGAAUGCUGUGCCAAUAACCAAGCCUGCUUCACCUGCCAUGUCAUCCCAGUCGACAAAUGGAACACAUGCUUCUUAUGGGCCUUUUUAUUUGGAGUAUUCCCUCCUUGCAGAGUUUACCUUGGUUGUAAAGCAGAAACUGCCAGGUGUCUACGUGCAGCCAUCUUACCGAUCAGCAUUAAUGUGGUUUGGUGUAAUAUUCAUAAGACAUGGGCUGUACCAGGAUGGUGUGUUUAAAUUUACUGUCUAUAUUCCUGAUAAUUACCCAGAUGGAGACUGCCCGCGCUUGGUUUUUGAUCUGCCUGUCUUCCAUCCACUAGUAGAUCCUUUAUCUGGUGAACUGGAUGUGAAAAGAGCAUUUGCAAAAUGGAGGCGAAAUCAUAAUCACAUAUGGCAAGUAUUAAUGUAUGCUCGCAGAGUCUUCUACAAGAUUGAUACAACUACUCCUCUGAAUCCUGAGGCUGCAGUGCUUUAUGAAAAAGAUAUUCAGCUGUUCAAAAGUAAAGUAGUGGAUAGUGUCAAACUAUGCAGCAGUCAUUUAUUUGAUCAGCCCAAAAUAGAGGAUCCCUAUGCAAUCAUUUUUUCUCCAUGGAAUCCAGCUAUACAUGAUGAAGCUAGAGAGAAGAUGUUGACUCAGAAGUAUAGAAAAGAAGGAAAAACCUGUGGAUCUUGGAAGAAAGCAAGCAAUUCCCUCUGCUGUUCCUGUUGUCAGUUGUGUGAUGACAUGCACAGAAAGACUUUCUGUCCUUCCCUCUCUUCUAUACCCACCAUGGGAAAGUAAAAGGAAGCGCAAGCCUUCUGGAGCAGUUGCUUAGUGCCACAGCUGUUUCUUGAAAAGCUAGUGAGUAACAGUGUUAGAGAGUGUGAGAGUGUGUGUGCAUGUACAUGCGUGCAUGUGGUUUUCCUCCUGUGUGAGCAAAAGGAACGAAUAACUGGGCAAAUAACAUUUCUUUGCUCCAGUGCUGAUUCAGUGAUCUUCAGGAAACUACUGUCAGUGUAACAUACGGGGUUGAAACCUAAUUUUUCAGUCUUUCAAAGCAAAGAAUGUCAUUCCUACUGUGUAUUGCCAACCACAGAAGCUGUCUGGCCCGCCUCCGUCAGUGAGAGGGAAAUCCUGUGGGCCGGGGGGCUGCGAGUGCCCACUCUGGGGUGCAAUGUGUUGCCUGAGAUGGCAUGGUAAGUGUGUGCUGGCAGCACCUGUGGCAUCUCCUGGGCCAGUGUGGCUGUGUGCAGCUUCGUGAGCCCCACACAGCUCUCCAGAGAGCUCCUGGCUUCAUCUCCCGGCAUGGAUGUGUUCGUUUCUCCCUGGGAUCUUUGCUGAAGAGGUUGAAGACCACGUCCAGCCCCCAUGGAAAAGGGCUCCUCUUCUGCUGCAUAGCCCUGCCAGCCUGCCUCCUCUGCGAAGAGGAGCAGCACCACCAGCCCCUGGCUGUGCUUGGAGAGACACCCCAGCAAAGGCAGUCCUUGGCGCUGACCCUCUGCGGGCUCCGCGGUGCCACGUUCUGGCAGAGCAACAGGAGGAAACGCGUUUAGAACAAACACAAUGACUAAACUGGGGCAAGAGUAAAGCCUUGUCCUUGUUGUGUGACUGAAACAUCUACACAAUUUCUUGACUUCAGCCUUUUUGUUAUGCAGGUGCAACACUCCCUAUCUAGAAUGAAGAUGCUUCUCAGGGAAGAUUUCUACUUUGUUCUUGGUGACCAGAGAGGACAGGAUUCAGCCUGUUACAUGUUCACCUGUCUCUGACCCAUAUAACCCAUCUGUUCCCUGAAAGCAAAGGGUACUGUUGCCGCACCUCCUGAGUCUGUCAGGUGAGUUCUGCUGGCUACUGCUGUCACUGCUGCCAGAGCGUCGUCGUCUCCUCCUGCCUUUUAUCAGGACACUGCGAU